UGUAACCUCAUGUCAGGUGGGGUGCUAUCUGUUUGGUAGGAUUAAAAAAUAAUUGUUCUGUCUUCAUCCUAGGUAUAUCGCAAGUUCUUCGGCGGGUACUGCAACUGCUCAUACCAUGGUUAGUCUUAGUGAACCUCUCUUGGUGUUCUUAGGUUUACCUAUAGCUAUUAUUUAUCUGUAGCUAUUAUCUACUGGGUUUCUUUCUUGGUGUUGAUAGUUUGUUGGAGAUUAGGCGUUUGAUUUCCUUUACAAAAUAGGUUCAGUUUGAAAUUGCGGCCAAAGCAAUGUUUUCAUGUGGUUUCAUCAAUUUUAGUUUCUAUAUUUACAUGUGUUUGAUUGUCCCUUGCUCUCGUUUAGAUAGAGAUUUCUAUCAAGAGUAUAGAAAGUUGGUGCCUGACAACUAGCUGCUUGCAUUCAUCCACCCCCUACUCUUAUCUUGCAAAAGCCCACUUCUUGUGUUUUGCUUGUAUAUAUAUUAGGCUGGACCAAAGUGCGGUUAAGUAACCUCUAACAAAUUGUCAUGACAUGAGCUGAUUAGCGGUCUAUUGUAAGCCCGCUCGGACUUACGAAAGUGGAGGUCACAUUUCCAUUCCACCAAUGCAUGUAGAUUUUGGUUCAGACUUCCAUCAGUGAAUGAAAAAAAAGGAAAAGCAAGAGAGAAUAGCAAGUACUUAUAUCAGUAUAAAAAUAUACCAAUGGGUAGUGAGCCUGCAACGUUGUGUACGUAUACAUGGGGAAAAUAUUUGGUUUGUGGCUUGUGUGAAAGGACAAUUUAGGUUUGUAUUCUAUAUCUGAGAACCAUUCAUAGCUUUAAGAUUUUGUUAUAAUUGUCAUCCCAUGGUUUUGCUCGGAAUAGCUGACCUUCUCUUUGUGUUUUUUGGUUGAUAUUAGUGUAAGAUGAUGAGUCCACAUUAGUUUGAUGUGCACCUAACAAUUAGGUUCUUCCUUCUUAAUACUACAUGCAUUGUUUUAGAUUCUAGCCUAUAUGUUUAGUUGCAGGUCAAGUCUCUUAACAAAUUUGGUUUUGCUGGUUGUUUAAACUAUUCCAGUUUGUUGUGGCAAUUCAAGUGACAGGUCCAGAAAAAAACAUAUCUCUAGCUAUUCGUUAUUUCAUAUUGAAUUUUCCUCAUAUUGUAGAGAAAUCUCAGCUAAUCUGUUCACAUCUUGAAAAUACAAUCACAAUUUCUCUUUACACAUGAAAUGUCCCUGAAGUGUUCGCAUAUACAUAAUGGUGAUUGUGACAGAAGAGUCAUGCUAUCUGGAGUCCUUUAUUCAGUAUUUCGGACAAAUGACUAUCACAUUUUAUUUAGCAAGGAAAUAUAAGGUGCAAAAUAUUAUAUUAGUGAACCUAUGAGCAGUUGAGCAUACUCAAUCUCAUGCCUCAUAUCUGAUCUUUGUGGACCAAGUGCGGUUUGAAAUUCCCUCGCCUAUCUUGGGCUGACUUAAAGACAAUCAGAUUUAGCAUUUAGUCAGAUGAAAAGAUGGAUAAUAGGGAUGAUCCCACUUGGAUCCUAGGCACAAGAUUGAGUGUGCAAUUGUGCAUUUUUCAUUAUAAUCGUAUGCACCUGUUACUUCCUAUUAUUCACAUUAUCAAAUAUUGUUCAUGUAGUGUCUUGCACUCUUGCCCGUUCCUGAAUAGACAGUUAGGGAACAGGGUAAAGAUGGUGUUUGUAGACUUUUUGGCUGGGAAUACAAAUGUUAAGAUGUAACCGCAUAAGGAUAUGUCAUGUGCCCAAGAUUCUCGAACAGAAGUUACCUCAAUAAUCGAUAGUUCAAUAAAUAGAUUAGUUUGUAUGAUUAAUUUACUAUGUUGUUCUUACACAACUGGUACAUAAAUUCAGCUACAUCUAAACUUAGUCAAUGACAUAUGCUAACUUUUGUUGUUUUUCACAGUGGCACAGAACACUUCUUUGCAUGAAUUCCUUGAUAGUUAUCUACAAUUCAGGCACAGGUGGUAUGAUUCUCCAGGAUUUUUUUGGGACUGGUCAUUGCGGGCAUGUUGAGGGUAUUUAGUUAAGCAAUUUUGUUAUUAUUUUAGAUUGAGUACAUCAGCUCGCUGGUUGCUUACAUUUUCUUGGUCCCUAGAGCUACUCACCUCGCUGGUUGUUUACAUUUCCUUGUUCCUGGGAUCCACUUUCCUAAAAUGAAUCUGUUUUAAUCUUGUAACUGGAACUGGUGGAUAUUUUGAUAGGGAAAUUACGAUGAUUGAUUUCUAGAUUUGAGUUUCAGAUUUUUUUUGCUUGUACUGGCCUCUUGAGAUUGGAAGACUGGCGUUGUUGUGGGCUUGUGGCAUAGGCUUCCUUUGUGGGUCUUUUUCUCAUCUGAUGUAAACAAUAUUUUUUAGUCUGGUAACGGUGCAAAGGCAAAUGGGGCAUCAUCACAUAUCUAGGUCGUAUUUUCGACAGACAGAUAUAAAACGGAGUGGGAAUGCCUCGAUUGAUAUCAUGUCCAAGUUCUUCAAGCUGAUGGUGGGGUGACAAAAAUAUGAUGGAUUGUAGGAAGAGGCCUUUGCCCAAGUGUAUUGUCUAUGGCAAGCCCAAGCACCAGGGUAUCACCCAACUCAAGUUCCAGAGGUACAAGAGGUGUGUCGCUGAGAGAGCUAUACGCAAGCUUGGUGGACUGAGGGUUCUUAUGUUAUGAAAUAAAGUAUGUCAUGAACUUUUUGCAA